UAAGCCCUACGGGGGGCAGCAGUGAGGAAUAUUGGUCAAUGGGCGAGAGCCUGAACCAGCCAAGUCGCGUGAAGGAUGACGGCCCUAUGGGUUGUAAUCUUCUUUUGUCAGGGAGCAAUUGGGUCCACGUGUGGGCUUAGCGAGAGUACCUGAAGAAAAAGCAUCGGCUAACUCCGUGCCAGCAGCCGCGGUAAUACGGUGGAUGCGAGCGUUAUCCGGAUUUAUUGGGUUUAAAGGGUGCGUAGGCGGAAUAUCAAGUCAGC
rnacentral:rRNA from 1 species